UUUUGAUAUUAAAAAAUAUCUUUUCACAUAUUGACUUUCUAAUUAUAAAAUAUAAACGAUGGAUAAUUCUACCACAUGAAGUACAAAAAAAGCCUUUAAUACAAAGUUUCAGCAGCACUAUUUACGUCAUAAAAUGUUAUUUCAACACGAUAAAUGUUGGUUCUGAAGUCUCUAUGACAUAGAGCUUAUUAUCGAAAUAUUUAUAUAAAUAUUUUGAAAACAUUACAUUCGAAAUAGAUAAGAAACUAAAGAAAAAUUACAUAAAGAAAUAUUACCUAAAGGCUUUUUAUGUCACAUAUAUUACAUAUUAAAUAUCAUACUUAUGAUAUUUCAAGUAAGUUUUGAUACUCUUAUAUGUUUAACUCAAAUGAAAGCUAAGAAAAUAAUAAAACAAAAAAUGGGAAAUAUUUACUAAACAAAAUGUCUAUCACAUAUUGUAAUAUAUAAAUAAAGAAUUAGAUAUUCAUUUAUACAUUUUCAAAUUUACCAUGUUAUAAAAGUUAUACAAGUUUGAUAAGUUGUCUUUUAGACAUAAAUAAACUUGGGAAUGAAAUACAUAUAUAACUUUAUUAUAAAAGAAAGUAUAAAAAAUAAUAUUGUUGCUAAUUAUGAAGAUCCUAUUCCACUUGUUUCUUUGCUUUUGGAGCAAUUUAAAAAGGGAUGUAAAAAAACUUCAGUAUUUUAAUAUUUUGAGGCAUUUAAUCCAUAAACAAGGAUCUAAUCCAGUAAAAUCAAAUUGCAAGUAUCAUAUUAAUAAAAAGCAAUUGAAGUUAUUUUUUGAUCUUACAUUCGCUAAAGUAAUUCCUCUAAACAUGUUUGGAAAAUUGAAAAAUUU